AAAGGCCGCCGUUCCUGCGACCCGGUCGACGGAGUGGAAAGGGGGGGUAAGCGUUAUAGUGCCCUGGUCGUUCGAACGCUUAGGGCCCGAAAGCGUUAGGUUCACCCAAAUAGACGCUAAAUAAUGAUUUGGCUUGGCUCCGUAUAUUAUUUUUAAAUAGGUGCCGCUAAAGUGAUGGACGCGACGAGAGCUCCAUUCUGCCCGUGCGGACUUCGGCCGUGCCCCUGGCUGCUCGUGUUUUUCACUAGCUUUGUGGAAGGUAAUGUGGUUUGUCUGCAUGUCGUCGCCGCUUUUUCCUGUUUGAAGUAGACAAGUAAAACUCUUGCUUGGGCUAGUUGGUUCAUGGUAAACUGAUCAACGAGACAAGUUCCUCGAGAUGAGAUAGGAGACAACAUGAAGUCAUAGGUGAAGUUUUCUUUGGUGAACAUAGCUCGGCCACUCUCCCAGUCAUAUCAGGGGUGCCAGAAGGUGGUGCCUUGGGGCCUUUACUGUCUCUAAUGUAUAUAAAUGACAUUGUUAAAACCAUAACUCCCAGUGUGCAAAUUAGACUGUUUGCCGAUGAUUGUAUUUUAUACAGUGAUGUAAAUUGUCAGAAUGAUCAGACUGUCCUCUAAAAGGAUUUAAAUAACAUAAUGAAGUGGUGUAAUGAAUGGGGUAUGUUUAUUAAUGCUGAUAAAUUCGUAUUUCUUCGUAUUACUCUUAAAAAAGAACCACUAACUUAUACGCUAGGUUCUUCAUCUCUGCGUGAGACUAACAAUUACAAAUACAUAGGUGUUACUUUUACUUCCACAUUGUCGUGGAACAUGCACAUUAAUGAUAUUUGUUCUGCUUUCCGCAAACCCUGUUUCCUAAGACACAAACUGAAAAAUGCCCCGCCUAAUGUGAAAUUACUGUUUUUUUUACUUUCAAUAGACCAAAGUUAGAGUAUGCAUGUAUAUCAUGGGAUCCUUACGCUAAGUCAAAUAUUGUGAGUCUUGAAAAAAUGCAAAGAGAGGCAGUUAGGUUUAUAUUUCAUAAAUUCGUAAGACUGGACUCUCCCUCUAAAAUUAUGACAGAAAAUUCCAUACCCACUCUUGAAUCACUCCGAAUGAUGCUAAGGCUUGAAUUCCUUUCCCUUCUUCUCAACAAGCUUGAAAUUAAACCAUCGACUCACAUAACACCUGCACUAACACGGCACACAAGACAGCAUCAUCCGGACUCACUAACACCCUAUUAUGUUUGAACUGACACGUUUAAAUUUUCUUUUUUUUUUUUUCCAGAACAAUAUCAGACUGGAAUGACAGUUUACAGAUAGAGUGUGACUAAAAAUUGUAUAAAUUUGUAUUCGCUUGUCCCUAAUUUGUUCUCUUUUGUUUGUAUGCAUUCUAUUGCCCCUCUGCUUGGACUGAAAGGUCUGUAGUAGGUACUAAAUAAAUAAAUAAAAUACUGAUCUUCCUUUACUUAUGCAGCUGUACUUGUUUUUUUUUUAAUGUUGAUCUCAUUAAAUUUACAUCAGUAGAUUAUUGGCAUCAGUACAGGUUUCAGAAAGUUAUAUCACUUAAAAAAGUACAGUACUUAAUAUUUGGGAAAGCUUGUCUAAUAUAAAGAGCCAAUGAAAUACUUUGGUAUUUCCUUAGACAUUACAAAGCAUUUCAUUGAAUGAAUGAAUGAAUGAAUGAAUGAAUGAGGGUUUUUUAUUGACAAAAUACAGUACAAGGGAAUAUUAUACAGGAGGAGGUCCCGACGUCAAAGACUAAUGGGACCUCCUGUACAGCGUAUAAGUAAAAAUAUAAACACUUGCAACAAAUAAUGUAAAAAAUAAAAAAAAAUAGGAAACAUAGUAUUGGUUGUAUUAAUUUGUAUUAGCAGCACUAAUACAAAUUAGCUACAAACAUCCUAGUAAAGAAGUAUAAUAAUUAUGACAUUUGACUAAUUAUGCCAUUAUGAAAGUAAAUGGAUAAUGAAACACAACCAAGCAAACUUUUAUUUGUGUAGCAUAAGUUUUAACAAAAUGUACAUUUGGAAGGGAGGAAUGAAAAAAAAAAAAAGACAAGUGGUUGCAGAUGAUAAAAUGUGGUCUUUUAGUUCUAGUUAAUGAUAUACAUGAUUUAAUUGUAGGAGGUAGUGUGUUCAAGAAGGAAAUGGGCAAAAAAUGGAUACUCUGCUAACCAUAAUUUGUGCGUACCUUGGGAAGAAUAAUAAUAUUGUUUAGUGCAAAUCGCCUAAGAUUAGUAUUCAUUAGACAAGAGGUAUCAGCCUGUUCCAGUGAGCAUUACCUAGUUGUUGGCAUAAAAAUGUACCAAGAUUAAGGUUAAUAAGUUCAUCUACGGUAAGAAUGUUGUAAUUACGUAAUAACUGUUUGGAAUUGAAAUGGUUCAAAUUAAAUGUAAUUCUAACAGCCUAGUUUUGUAAUACUUGUAAUGAUUCUAAGUGGGUAAGUGUUUUGUGGUUCAAUGCAUACCGAGCUUUUAAAAGUGUCCUUAUUUCAUAUGUUGCCUUCUGCCUAAUGUUUGCUAUGUGUUGAUAAAAUUUAAGGUUAGAAUCAAGUUCUACACCCAAAUAGUUACAGGAAGUACUAUAAUCAAGGGUUCGACGAAAGUUCGUCUGGUCAGGCAUGGAAAUGAAGGGGAUCACGCUCAUUUGACCAAGUCUGAUGUAUAAUCCGACGUUUCGGAACUGCGUACGGGUUCCUUGUUUACUGAGUUGGACAGGAAAUCAUCAUCAGUUAUGUAGCCAGCACGUGAUGUAAUAAGCGUGCGUAAAUGGCAGGCAUAGUCCCUGGUGUCCGGUUCACCAUAGCUGGCGUCGAUUGAAUGAUUAGCGAUUCUAUCAGCCGCCGGGAUGACAUGUUCUUUUCUUUGGCAACAAUAUUAGCAUUGUCCCAGUCAAUCUUGUGACUGUGUUCUUGCGCAUACUCAGCAAUGGCGUUCGUCGUGUGACUAUUAUUUCUUACAUCACAUUUAUGGUCCUUGAGGCAUCUGGAGACCUUCCCUGUUUCACCAAUAUAUACUUUGUGGCAAUCAGCGCAUGGUAUCUUAUACACGACCGCUGGGAAUGAUUCAACAGUGCAUUGUCGCCUGAGGAGACGCGUAUGGCGCAUGUUAUCAAGGACAACACUACGGACGUCUUGUGGCCGACAGGAUAACAGGAAUUAAACCUGAGGUAACAACCUUUGUGCGCAGGCUUCCUGUAUACUCAGAAGGCGAGAGCGCCCCCAUCCCGACGAAUCAGUACAUCCAAUAAAGGCAACAAGUUGUCCCUCUCGUGUCCAGCGGUGAAUUGUAUGUGUGCAUUUUGGGCAGUCAGGCAGUCCAGGAAGCGUUGUAUGUCUUGCUUCUUCAAAAUACAGAAGCAGUCAUUUUACGUAGCGAUAAAAAACUUUAGGGGCCGGGUUGAAUGUGGCCAGCACCUUUCCUUCCAAGGCUUCCAUUACUAUAUUGGCCGUGGUAACCAAUAUUGGCGCUCCAUCACCAUGCCAUGCGUUUGCUGAUAAAGGCUGCCACCAUAAGAAAAAUUAUUGCUUAGACAAAACCACAGCAGUUCGGGGACAUCGAAGGACAUGCAACCAGGAAGACCACUCUCUGCUUCUAGGGCUUCUUAUCACAUGGCUAUUGCCAAAUUCACUGGGACACUAGUGAAAAGCGAUGUGACGUCGAACGAGACCAUGGCGUCAUCUUCACUCAGCGUGAUGUCCUUUACCUUUUUCUUUAUGAGUCGUGUAUAAAAUACUAUGCGCUGAUUGCCACAUAAAAUAUAUUGGUGAAACAGGGAAGUUCUCCAGACGCCUCAAGGACCAUAAACGUGACGUAAGAAAUAAUAGUCACAUGACGAAUGCCAUUGCCGAGCAUG